CCAACUACUGUUUAAUAUAGAGUCUAAAGAUAAAAUAUGUGUAGGCGGAUGAAGUACCACAAGGGAAAAAGAUAGUUAUAUAUAAGCAGUAUUAACUUACGUACCUUUUGUAUCAUGGCUUAGCGAGAGAGAGUACUAAAUAGUAAUUCUAGAAACUUGAAGAGCUACCUAAAAACCUCUAUUAGGAGUAAAUAUUGUAAAUGUAGCAAAAUUUUAUAUAGAUUUUUAGGUUGAAAUAAUAUGUUAGUCGGUUCAAGUGAUAGCUAGUUUCCCUAUAAAUGCAUUUAAGUGCAGGUUUUAAGAAAAAUAGAAUUUACAAGGAUGUAAAAUAUUUAAUAUUAAAAACUGAUUCUAUGGAGGUUAAGUUCUAUAGAAAAUUUACCCUAAAAAAUAUUAACUAAAUUCUAGGCUUAAGGUUAGUCAUGAUAAAGUUUGUUAUAAAUUAUUUAAAGCUGAUAAGAUGUAAAUAUAGUUAGGAGCAGAUAUUAUGGGGAACUAUACAAGAAUAAUAAAUUGAAUAUUUAUAAUGCUAAGAUUAGUAUUAGUAAAGUUUAAGUUUAAUAUUACAUAUAAUAUAGUAAUAUUAAUAGCUAUAUUUUUUUCAUUAAAAUAAUAAAAGGAACUCGGCAAACAUUUUUCUCGCCUGUUUAUCAAAAACAUGUCUCUUCGUAUAGUGAAAUAUUAAAAUGAAGAGUCGGGCCUGCCCUAUGAUAAGUAUUAUUAAAUGGCCGCGGUACUCUGACCGUGCAAAGGUAGCAUAAUAAUUUGUCUGUUAAUUGCUGACUAGUAUGAAUGGUUUGACGAAGGAAAGUAACUGUCUCUUAUUAUUUUUAUAUAAAUUGACUUUCAGGUUAAAAGGCCUGAAUUUAAUGCUAAGACGAGAAGACCCUAUUGAGCUUUACUAUAAACUUAGGUAUUCUAAGUCAGAUAGGUUGGUUGGGGCAACAGAAGAACAGAAAAAGCUUCUUUUAUAAAACAAAAGUUACAUUUGAUCCAACAAAUGUUGAUAAAGGAAAUAGUUACCAUAGGGAUAACAGCAUAAUUUUUUUUUAGAGUUCAUAUUGAAAAAAAAGUUUGUGACCUCGAUGUUGGACUAGAAUAUCCUGAAGGUGCAGCAGCUAUCAAGGGUUGGCCUGUUCGGCCAUAAAAAUUCUACAUGAUCUGAGUUCAGACCGGCGUGAGCCAGGUCAGUUUCUAUCUAGCAUAAUAAGUACUUAGAUCAGUACGAAAGGACAAUCUAAGUUAAAUGUUUUAUUUCAUUAUAUACUUCAUAAAUUAAUUAAAUGUCUUG
rnacentral:rRNA from 1 species